UACGUAGGGACCGAGCGUUGUCCGGAUUCAUUGGGCGUAAAGAGCUCGUAGGCGGCUGCUCAAGUCGAAUGUGAAAACUCGAGGCUCAACCUCGAGCCUGCAUUCGAUACUGGGCGGCUAGAGUCUGGUAGGGGGAUCUGGAAUUCCUGGUGUAGCGGUGGAAUGCGCAGAUAUCAGGAGGAACACCGAUGGCGAAGGCAGCUCGCUGGGACGUACUGACGCUGAGGCGCGAAAGCGUGGGGAGCGAACAGG
rnacentral:rRNA from 1 species